UACAGAGGGGGCAAGCGUUGUUCGGAAUUACUGGGCGUAAAGGGCGCGUAGGCGGCCUGUUAAGUCGAACGUGAAAUCCCCGGGCUCAACCCGGGAACUGCGUCCGAUACUGGCAGGCUUGAAUCCGGGAGAGGGAUGUGGAAUUCCAGGUGUAGCGGUGAAAUGCGUAGAUAUCUGGAGGAACACCGGUGGCGAAGGCGGCAUCCUGGACCGGUAUUGACGCUGAGGCGCGAAAGCCAGGG
rnacentral:rRNA from 1 species